AGUCGAGCGGUAGCACAGAGAGCUUGCUCUCGGGUGACGAGCGGCGGACGGGUGAGUAAUGUCUGGGAAACUGCCUGAUGGAGGGGGGUAACUACUGGAAACGGUAGCUAAUACCGCAUAACGUCGCGAGACCAAAGUGGGGGACCUUCGGGCCUCAUGCCAUCAGAUGUGCCCAGAUGGGAUUAGCUUGUAGGUGAGGUAACGGCUCACCUAGGCGACGAUCCCUAGCUGGUCUGAGAGGAUGACCAGCCACACUGGAACUGAGACACGGUCCAGACUCCUACGGGAGGCAGCAGUGGGGAAUAUUGCACAAUGGGCGCAAGCCUGAUGCAGCCAUGCCGCGUGUAUGAAGAAGGCCUUCGGGUUGUAAAGUACUUUCAGCGAGGAGGAAGGCGAUAAGGUUAAUAACCUUGUCGAUUGACGUUACUCGCAGAAGAAGCACCGGCUAACUCCGUGCCAGCAGCCGCGGUAAUACGGAGGGUGCAAGCGUUAAUCGGAAUUACUGGGCGUAAAGCGCACGCAGGCGGUCUGUCAAGUCGGAUGUGAAAUCCCCGGGCUCAACCUGGGAACUGCAUCCGAAACUGGCAGGCUAGAGUCUUGUAGAGGGGGGUAGAAUUCCAGGUGUAGCGGUGAAAUGCGUAGAGAUCUGGAGGAAUACC
rnacentral:rRNA from 1 species